rnacentral:rRNA from 1 species
GAUGAACGCUGGCGGCGUGCUUAACACAUGCAAGUCGAACGAAGUGGCGGAUGGGCGAGUAACACGUGAGGAGCCUGCCUUUCACAGGGGACUAACACUGGGAACCCAGUGCUUAUAACGCAUAGUGAAAGAUGGCCUGGCGCCUGAUUAGCUAGUAGCUGAGGUAACGGCCCACCUAGGUGAUGAUAAGUAGCCGGAUUGAAGGUUGAACGGCCGCAAUGGGACUGAGACACGGCCGAGACUACUACGGGAGAAAGCAGUGAGGAAUAUUGGGCACUGGCGCAAGCCUGAAGCAGCAGCGCGGCGUUCAAAAAGACGGUAUUAGGAUUGUAAACGUGUUUGUACAGUGGCGCGGUAACAGUAAAAUAAGCAACGGCUAACUACGUGCCAGCAGCCGCGGUAAUUA